CUUCAAGAAUUAAGACAGAGUCAAGGAAGAGAACUGGGGAUGUGAUAAAGAUACCAGACCCAAGCGAGCAGAAGUCAACUUCCUACCAAACUUUCCCCAAGGAAAGGAUCCUUCAAGCCUUGACCAGUUGAGGCAAGCAAUUGUUGAAGAAGUCAAGAAGGCUGAGAAGAACAUGCCCCUCAUUAGAAAGUUGAUGGAGACCACAUUUCCCCUGCGCAGACAAACCAUAGUGAUGUCCUGCCCACCAGUGAAGGAGCUCUUGGACCUCUGGCCUGCUCUAAAAAUGGAGUCUGAGUUGUAUGCAGAGUUUCAGCGGAUUACAAAUCAGAACCUGCCCAAUACAUUCUAUGCUGAACUUGACCGCCAUCUUCCUCGACUGAUGACCUUA